rnacentral:rRNA from 1 species
GGUGAUCUGCCUUGCACUUCGGGCAUCAAGCUCUGGGCAAACUGGGUCUACUACCGGAUAGGACAGCUGUAUUCAGUGUCAGUUGUGGAACAGUUUCUCUCAGGUGCAAGAUGAGCUCGCGGCCUAUCAGCUUGUUCGCGUGGGGUAAUGGCCUACCAAGGCGUCGACGGGUAGCCGGCCUGAGAGGGUGUACGGCCACCAUUGGGACUGAGAUACGGCCCAGACUCCUACGGGAGGCAGCAGUGGGGAAUAUUGCACAAUGGCGGAAGCCUGAUGCAGCGACGCCGCUGGGGGAUGAAGGCCUUCGGGUUGUAAACUCCUUUCGACAGGGACGAAGCGUAAGUGACGGUACCUGUAUAAGAAGCACCGGCUAACUACGUGCCAGCAGCCGCGGUAAUACGUAGGGUGCGAGCGUUGUCCGGAAUUACUGGGCGUAAAGAGCUCGUAGGUGGUUUGUCGCGUCGUCUGUGAAAUUCCGGGGCUUAACUCCGGGCGUGCAGGCGAUACGGGCUGACUUGAGUGCUGUAGGGGAGACUGGAAUUCCUGGUGUAGCGGUGAAAUGCGCAGAUAUCAGGAGGAACACCGAUGGCGAAGGCAGGUCUCUGGGCAGUAACUGACGCUGAGGAGCGAAAGCAUGGGUAGCGAACAGGAUUAGAUACCCUGGUAGUCCAUGCCGUAAACGGUGGGCGCUAGGUGUAGGGGGCUUCCACGUCUUCUGUGCCGUAGUCAACGCAUUAAGCGCCCCGCCUAAGGAGUACGGCCCAAGGCUA